rnacentral:rRNA from 1 species
UACGUAGGGCGCAAGCGUUGUCCGGAAUUAUUGGGCGUAAAGAGCUCGUAGGCGGUUUGUUGCGUCUGCUGUGAAAACCUAAGGCUCAACCUUGGGCUUGCAGUGGGUACGGGCAGACUAGAGUGCGGUAGGGGUGACUGGAAUUCCUGGUGUAGCGGUGGAAUGCGCAGAUAUCAGGAGGAACGCCGAUGGCGAAGGCAGGUCACUGGGCCGAUAACUG